GCGUGAGUGAUGAAGGCCUUCGGGUUGUAAAGCUCUUUCGCGCACGACGAUAAUGACGGUAGUGCGAGAAGAAGCCCCGGCUAACUCCGUGCCAGCAGCCGCGGUAAUACGGAGGGGGCUAGCGUUGUUCGGAAUUACUGGGCGUAAAGGGCGCGUAGGCGGCCUUUCAAGUCAGGCGUGAAAGCCCUGGGCUUAACCUGGGAAUUGCGCUUGAUACUGGAGGGCUUGAAUUCAGGAGAGGAUGGUGGAAUUCCCAGUGUAGAGGUAAAAUUCGU
rnacentral:rRNA from 1 species